GAGAAAGGGCAAAGUCAGGAGUGUGUCAGCACCAAAGGCCAGCUCACCUGUCCCUCCCAACGUGGACCCCUCCUGCAGCCACCUAUGACAGGCAGAGAAGGUGUAGAAGGAAGGGAUGGUAGGAGAGGUUGUUCUCUCCAGAAGACGGAUGUGUACAAUGAGAUCUACCUCCUCCUCUCCUGCUAGCCCCGCACUGUGGGGAUGGGGGCAUGGCUCCCAAUGCUGCCUUCACAACCUCCUAGACCCCAGCCCUCAGGGUCCAUAAGAGGAGAAGCAAAGGGAUUACAAAUACUCCUCAGAGGCUGACCUGCUCGACCACCCAGCCAUGUCUUUUCCUUGGAAGAUUACCAGCUGGAUCUCUUUCAGGAAGGGGACUAUGGAGAUGUUUUUCCUUUCUCGUUUUCGGGUCUGUUAUCUUCUGUGACCAUUGCUAUUGUGUGGUAUGCUGAUUGCUCUCCCUAUCCCUCUCUGAGCUCCAGUCUUAUGGUCAGAUAAACUGUAAUGCCAUGGCGCCCCAAGCUGAAACCCACGAAUGGUGGGAUUUGCAUGAACUCUCAUAACAGAUGGGCAGAGCCAGGACUAGAACCCAGCUCCCUAGACUCCUGGCUUAGCGCUCUUUCCACGGCUGCUUCAUGGAGGUAGGAGACUUUGAGGCCAGGCUGCCUGGGUCCAAAUACCAGCUCUACCACUUACUGUGAGGUCCAGGAAAGGUUUUCUGUGCCCCAGUUUCAUCUCCUGUAAAAUGGGCUAAUAUAAGCAGUACCUAUCUCACGGGAUUCUUUUGAGAAUUAAAUAUAUAUGCUUCAUAUAUAUAU
rnacentral:lncRNA from 1 species